CACCCCCCUCCCCAGCAUGCCGGAGGAACCAGUGACUCACCAUCGAGGCUGCUGCUAUAGCAGCGUGGGUAUCCCAGGAUGAUCAAAAUCACAGAAGGAUGAGCAGUCAGGAUCUAAGUCAAUGUUAGCAGCCACCACUGCCAUGACUGCGAAAUCCACAGUCCUGGAGAUGGUGUCCACUUCUCUGACACGUUGGUGGCUGCUGUUCCUGACUGCAUGUGUGUAAGUUCAACAAACCGAGGUGGGAGAAGAAACAUGCGAAGUCUGCAGAAAUCAGCGGGUGGCACCAGCCUUAGCGACAGAAGUAGAGCAAGGAAGUCUGUAGAGUGAGUGGUAAGACCGGCCACCGCUCAAGAACACAUUCAAAUCAGAAUCCUGUCUGGGACUCUUACUCUGUGUUUGACCCUGCCUCUGAGUCUCAAACCCAGCCUCAAUCAGAAUCUAAAGGAAACUG